GUGGGGAAUCUUAGACAAUGGGCACAAGCCUGAUCUAGCCAUGCCGCGUGAGCGAUGAAGGCCUUAGGGUUGUAAAGCUCUUUCAGCUGGGAAGAUAAUGACGGUACCAGCAGAAGAAGCCCCGGCUAACUCCGUGCCAGCAGCCGCGGUAAUACGGAGGGGGCUAGCGUUGUUCGGAAUUACUGGGCGUAAAGCGCACGUAGGCGGAUCAGAAAGUCAGAGGUGAAAUCCCAGGGCUCAACCUUGGAACUGCCUUUGAAACUCCUGAUCUUGAGGUCGAGAGAGGUGAGUGGAAUUCCGAGUGUAGAGGUGAAAUUCGUAGAUAUUCGGAGGAACACCAGUGGCGAAGGCGGCUCACUGGCUCGAUACUGACGCUGAGGUGCGAAAGCGUGGGGAGCAAACAGGAUUAGAUACCCGGGUAGUCC
rnacentral:rRNA from 1 species